rnacentral:rRNA from 1 species
GACGAACGCUGGCAGCGUGCUUAACACAUGCAAGUCGAACGGGGCUCAUCGCUUCGGUGGUGGGCCUAGUGGCGAACGGGUGAGUAACGCGUGGGCAACCUGCCCCCGGCUCUGGGAUAACUCCAAGAAAUUGGGGCUAAUACCGGAUGUGACCGCUGGCCGCAUGGUCUGGUGGUGGAAAGGGUUUCCGGCUGGGGAUGGGCCCACGGCCUAUCAGCUUGUUGGUGGGGUAGUGGCCUACCAAGGCGACGACGGGUAGCCGGCCUGAGAGGGUGACCGGCCACACUGGGACUGAGGCACGGCCCAGACUCCUACGGGAGGCAGCAGUGGGGAAUAUUGCGCAAUGGGCGGAAGCCUGACGCAGCGACGCCGCGUGGGGGAUGACGGCCUUCGGGUUGUAAACCUCUUUCAGCAGGGACGAAGCCGCGAGGUGACGGUACCUGCAGAAGAAGCACCGGCCAACUACGUGCCAGCCGCCGCAGUAA